rnacentral:rRNA from 1 species
UACGGAGGAUGCAAGCGUUAUCCGGAAUGAUUGGGCGUAAAGCGUCCGCAGGUGGCUAUGUAAGUCUGCUGUUAAAGAGUGAGGCUCAACCUCAUAAGAGCAGUGGAAACUACAUGGCUAGAGUGCGUUCGGGGCAGAGGGAAUUCCUGGUGUAGUGGUGAAAUGCGGUAGACGGAUCGGCAGGAACGACCCAGGGGGAAACCAGCCGACUGGGCAAGUGCUGGACGCUGAGGUGCGAGAACGUGGGGAGCGAACCGG